GGGCGUGUAGCUCAGCUGGGAGAGCGCCUCGUUCGCAACGAGGAGGCCGUCGGUUCAAUCCCGAUCACGUCCA
rnacentral:tRNA from 1 species